rnacentral:rRNA from 1 species
GGCCGCGGCCCGGAUCCAGGCGGCCGCCGGGGAAAACCAAAACUCUUUGUAUUAUCAGCUUUUUCUGAAUGAGCCGCAAGGCGAAAACAAAUGAAUCAAAACUUUCAACAACGGAUCUCUUGGUUCUGGCAUCGAUGAAGAACGCAGCGAAAUGCGAUAAGUAAUGUGAAUUGCAGAAUUCAGUGAAUCAUCGAAUCUUUGAACGCACAUUGCGCCCGGCAGCAUUCUGCCGGGCAUGCCUGUUCGAGCGUCAUUUCAACCCUCGCGCUCCCUUCGGGGAGCACGGUGUUGGGGUACGGCAGCACACUGAGCCGGCCCCGAAAUGGAGUGGCGGCCCGUCCGCGGCGACCUCUGCGUAGUAACUCAACCUCGCACCGGAACCCCGACGUGGCCACGCCUCAAAACCCCCCCAUUUUCUGAACGUUGACCUCGGAUCAGGUAGGAAUACCCGCUGAACUUAAGCAUA